UGUUUUAUCGUCUGAAAGGUCCACCAAAUCUGCUAACAAAUAACUUGACUAUCUCCUCCCGUCGCAAUCAGCUGACUGUAAGCACACACAAACGAAUCUCAGCUUUGAAUCGUCAGCAACGGCUUUAACAUGGAACUUUUACCUUCCAACAAAUAUGUAAAUAUUUCACCGUCAAAUAUGUACAGAGUGUCCGCCGAGGAAUCACACUGCGCCGGCGGAUAGCGCCCUCGUGGAUUCGGCCGCUGACGGCCGAGGUAACGGUAGUGCCGGAACUUGGGGCCUUUGCGCUGCCGGACUCUCGUGCAACUGCCACGGCUGGGCACAUGCUGAGGAGACGGCGAUUCGGCCUUCGCUAAAGCGGCGGAUCAUUUUGCCCGGCAGAUAUCUGAUGUAAAAGAAACAGAGCAAACUUAAAGAAUGAGAAGACUGGAUAAGUGUGAGAAAUGCUGGAGAAGAUGUUAUCUGUGAUUUUAUAGUUCGUUAAUGGAAGUACAAAACGCAUUCCUAAACUUUGUUUAAGGCCUCAGUAAUCAAAUUAUAAGAUUGUCUAUUAGCUUGUUGUACAGUUAAUUAAUAAAUGUUUUUCCUUACAAUUA